CCCCCGGUCCGACGCGGCGACCCGCCGUGAACCGGGUCAGGCCCGGAAGGGAGCAGCCCUAAGCGGUCAGGGUCGGGUGCCGUCGGGGUGCCGG
rfam:Oceanithermus profundus DSM 14977, complete genome.